CUACGGGAGGCUCCAGGCGAGAAAACUUUGCAAUGUGCGAAAGCACGACAAGGUUAAUCCGAGUGGUUUGUGCUAAACGAACCUUUUGACAGUCCUAGAAACACUGUUGAAUAAGGGGUGGGCAAGUUCUGGUGUCAGCCGCCGCGGUAAAACCAGCACCUCAAGUGGUCAGGAUGAUUAUUGGGCCUAAAGCAUCCGUAGCCGGCUCUGUAAGUUUUCGGUUAAAUCUGUACGCUCAACGUACAGGCUGCCGGGAAUACUGCAGAGCUAGGGAGGGGGAGAGGUAGACGGUACUCGGUAGGAAGGGGUAAAAUCCUUUGAUCUAUUGAUGACCACCUGUGGCGAAGGCGGUCUACCAGAACACGUCCGACGGUGAGGGAUGAAAGCUGGGGGAGCAAACCGGAUUAAUACCCUAGUAGUC
rnacentral:rRNA from 1 species